AAGUCGUAACAAGGUUUCCGUAGGUGAACCUGCGGAAGGAUCAUUAACUAUAUGAGGGGAGGGCUGGGCUUCGGCCUGCCCCUCUCUGACUAUUCUACCCGUGUCUUUUGCGUACUAUUUGUUUCCUCGGUGGGCUUGCCCGCCGAUAGGGCACUUUAAAAACCUUUUGUAAUUGCAGUCAGCGUCAGUAAAAACUUAAUAGUUACAA
rnacentral:misc_RNA from 1 species